GUCAGGACGAACGCUGGCGGCGUGCCUAAUACAUGCAAGUCGAACGGUCUUUCUAUGGAAGCUUGCUUCCACUGAAAAGAUAGUGGCGAACGGGUGAGUAACACGUGGGUAACCUGCCCAUAAGAGGGGGGAUAACAUCCGGAAACGGGUGCUAAUACCGCAUAGUUUUCUUGAUCGCAUGAUCGGGAAAGGAAAGACGGCCUUUGUGCUGUCGCUUAUGGAUGGACCCGCGGCGUAUUAGUUAGUUGGUGAGGUAACGGCUCACCAAGACGAUGAUACGUAGCCGACCUGAGAGGGUGAUCGGCCACAUUGGGACUGAGACACGGCCCAAACUCCUACGGGAGGCAGCAGUAGGGAAUCUUCCGCAAUGGACGAAAGUCUGACGGAGCAACGCCGCGUGAGUGAAAGAAGGUUUUCGGAUCGUAAAACUCUGUUGUCAGAGAAGAACAAGUUGGAGAGUAACUGCUCCAGCCUUGACGGUAUCUGACCAGAAAGCCACGGCUAACUAGGUGCCAGCCGCCGC
rnacentral:rRNA from 1 species